rnacentral:ncRNA from 2 species
UCAAGGGAUCCCGUUAAAUAUUUUUAAUUAUUUAACCGGGAAAGGAACCGGGUGUAAUUCCCGGACAGUGCCGCUACUGUGAAUCCUGAGCUAAGUCGAAGGAUAAGUCAGAAAACUAGCAACCUCAAAUAUUCCCGA